GAUGAACGCUAGCGGCAGGCUUAACACAUGCAAGUCGAGGGGCAGCAUAAUGGAUAGCAAUAUCUAUGGUGGCGACCGGCGCACGGGUGCGUAACGCGUAUGCAACCUACCUUUAACAGGGGGAUAACACUGAGAAAUUGGUACUAAUACCCCAUAAUAUCAUAGAAGGCAUCUUUUAUGGUUGAAAAUUCCGAUGGUUAGAGAUGGGCAUGCGUUGUAUUAGCUAGUUGGUGGGGUAACGGCGCACCAAGGCGACGAUACAUAGGGGGACUGAGAGGUUAACCCCCCACACUGGUACUGCGACACGGACCAGACGCCUACGGGAGGCAGCAGUGAGGAAUAUUGGUCAAUGGACGCUAGUCUGAACCAGCCAUGCCGCGUGCAGGAUGACGGCUCUAUGAGUUGUAAACUGCUUUUGUACGAGGGUAAACGCAGAUACGUGUAUCUGUCUGAAAGUAUCGGACGAAUAAGAAUCGGCUAACUCCGUG
rnacentral:rRNA from 1 species